rnacentral:lncRNA from 1 species
CUCAAUUCUGAUGUGAAUCCUAACAAGUCUUUUACCGGUCAUCAAGUUUCAAUUUGAGGGUAUUCCAGCAAAUUACUGUACUGGCAGGAACAUGUAGUGAACCAGCCAAUUUUAAGAUGAGUACACUCAAAAACACCAAGAUGUUUUCAACUAAGUGUAUCAAAUUACUGAGCGACUGAGAAGAAAACCAAUAGAAGGGCAUCAUGGUGCUUGUCAGGAGAAAUGACUGCCCGACAAAAGUACUCAGAGUGGAAUGAAGUCCAAA